CAUUGUAAAAAACACUGGUUCUUAGAGAACCCAUCAGAUAACCCUAAUUUUUUAACACUAAAAAUGACUAGAAAUAUAUAGAUGAAAGAAAAUUAAGAGAAUAUGAAGACAGAUGUAAAGGUGAUUAAUCACAGUUACUGAUAUGAUAUAAUGUGUAUGAUAGGAGGAAAUAGAUUGAGUAGAUGUCAGUUAGGUUGUUAGGGUGAGUGAGGUUUUCUUUAUAUAGUUGGGGGGUCCUGGUAUGCUGGGCACUUUUUGGGGAUAAUUUUGUAAAUUGAUCUUUAACUCUUUGUGAAGGGGAAACCCCUGGAGGAGAGAGUGCUCUACCAUUUUUGUGUUCUUUUCUGUCUAUACAAUAAAAAAUAUUACUCUUCUCCCUCUUUUCAAUUCUGGGUUCCUAACCUACACGCAUAUCUUUGAGCAGAAAUUCAACCUUGAAUUCCCCAUCCAAACCCUUUUCCUCACAGCUAUGAAAGUUGUUUGUUUUUACGCUUUUUGUUAGCAACAGAUCUCCCAUUAGUAGAGUCAGUGUUUCUUCCUGCACCCGCAUAUUUUCUCCCUGCACCGCCAUAGCUCAGAAAAAUGACCUAAAUACCCUUUAUUUAAAAAUUAUUAAAAAUUCUAAUAUGAAAAACCCUAAACCUAUCUCCAUGUAAACCUAGCCGCUGCACCUCAUACACUUCUGCGACUACAGCAUGUGCACCUCCAUUGCCCAAAGGCACAGCUCCAUUGUUGGAAAGCUACAGUGUAUAUGCAUUGGUUGAAACUCCCUGGACCUCCAUUACCUCCAUUACUUGAAGCUUGAACGAUCUGCACCUCCAUUGCUCAAAGCUUGCGAAGAAGAAAGUGGUUCCUCUAUAGUUCUUGGCAGAGAGUGAGAGUUAACUAGCCCAGGAAUUUGGGCUGCCAUUCAUGGUGUACACACAAAAACGCUCAGUUCAGAUAAGGAUUUCAAGAAUAUAAUGAAGAGACACAAGGAUGAUAGAUAAGAUUCUACAAGAAGGUUUGAUGAACUACAUGAGAUCAUCAACUGUAAUACACAGCAAGAUGAGAAUUCUAAGAUGACAUGAAUGGUUCGGAUGACAUGAAUGGUUGGGUUAAGCAAGUGGAGAUGUAUUUCAAAUUGAAGGACAUUUUGAGCAAGAGAAGUUACAAGUGGCGAUGGAAGGUAGAGCCAUUAACUUUGUAAAAAGAUAUAUACUUUGUAACGAUAAAACCUUUAUAAUAGAGUAUUUAUAAAUCUUUUCAUCCAAUUCAAUGUAAAUCUUUAUUUUGUCUUUUGGUACCUUAACAUUUGGUCUGACAUGCUAGAUCCAAAAUCAUGAUGGAAAAUUGGGUGGGAGUAUUUGAUGAGAAAACAAAAGGGGGACUAUUCUGAUAUUUGGAAAAGGUUAUUGAUGUUACAUUUAAGUCGUCUAUCUUUUCAGUUGUUUUUUGUUCAUCUUAAGUUGUUCAAAUUAAUUCUGCUUGUGGUUUUGUUUCCUAUCCUGUUUCAAUUCUCAGCAAAAAUCCCCUACGUUUUGCAACUCAUAUGCCAAAAUGUAGCUAUGGGUUCAAGAGAAAAUGCUUAGUAAUGCUAUGGGUCCAAACCAUACUUCAGGAGGCUUUGCUCAAGUUUUGUAGAUCCUGUUUUCACUGACUUGCACCUUAUUCACAACUAAGCUACUCUCGCUCCUAGUGUGUUUGGGAAAGCUUGCAAAUCUUUUGCAAUAACUGUGCUGCAGCAUGGUGGCUCAUGAAAAAAUAGCUGCAUAAUUUUGCUUCUAACAGUGAGAUCUGGGAGAAGACGGCCAUUUUCAAAUCCUACUGUAUUGGAGGAAAUUAUUCCUAGUUUACAACUUUGAGAGCAAGGUUGAUUAUGAGGGAGUGGUAUUUUUAGCAUAUAGAAUAAAGGGACUAUAGUAGUUAACAUUUAGAGGGAUAUCAAGGUCAGGCCCAUCAUAUCUAUAAAUAGGAGGACACUAUGGUAAAUAGGGGAGAAUUGUUAUUAUAAAUUAAGCAUUGGCUUUUUGUGAAAGGAAACAUCCUUUGCGAAAGAGAAACCCUUAGAGAAGAUAGUGCUCUCCUAUUACUUGAUUUUUCUCAUCCUAUCCAAUAUAGACUUUCUUUUCUGUCCCUUUCCAUUUCUUGGUUCCUAACACAUAUGCUAAGAAGUGGACUUUAAGCCUAACAAGCCUCACAAAGCUGGCUUGUAAGAUGAGGUUUACAUCUACUUAUUGUAAAUUGGUUUUAUCUCUAGUCGAUGUAGGAUUUCCAACACACCUCCCUCAUAUCGAGACUUAUACAUCUCGAGCGCAAUGGGUGGUGUAAUAGCGGCCCAAUAGUGGGUGGAACAAUAUACCUAACAAAUAACAAAUUUCGUUAGGAUAAGCUUUAAUCCAAGGUUGUGAUACCAUGUUAUGCAGUGGAUUUUUAAGCCUAACUUAACCUCAUAAAACCGGCUUGUAAAGUGAGGCGGCUUGUAAAGUGAGGCUUGCACCCACUUAUAUAUAUUGUAAAUUGACCUUAUCUUUAGUCGAUAUGGAAAUUCCAACAACAACCAUCCAUUCAAAAGGCUACAAGAAAAUUUCUUAUACUCAAACAAAAAUUAUUAUUUAUUUGAAUAAAGAUAAAAUAUCUACUUAAUUGCAAGGUAGUCAAUAUUGUGUUUUGAAGUGGCAUUCCUUGUGUGUGUGGGAGUUGUGUACCUCAUGCGCUCGGGACCAAUGUUCCUUGCAAGCAUGGAAAACGAAUAUAGUUAGUAUCAUUCUCUCAUUUGCAACUUAUUUGGGUUGGGAAUUAUAACAAUUUGAUGUGAAAAAUGCUUUUUUGAAUGGAAAUUCCCCCAAGUUUUAGGCCUAUUAAAGGGAAUAAAGUAUGUAGGUUGAGGAAAGCCUUUAAUGGACUCAAGCAGUCACCACGUGCUUGGUUUGGUUUAACUUACUCAAGUUAUGAUCUCCAUGGGAUAUCGAUAGAGUCAAGGUGGAUAGUGGCCUUAUCACUACUUCCUAUGUCCCAUCUAGGCUUUAGCCACUCGAGUUUUUUACAAAAGUCUUCCCACUGAGCAAUUUCAUGACCACACAUGCAAGUUUGAAAUGAUAGAUAUCCUAUCACCGUCUUGAGAGGGAGUGUUGUAAGUAGGAUAUUAAAUGCAUUACCAGAAGUUAAUAAAUAUUAAAUGUAUUAAUAUAAGCUAAUAUAAGUUAUUAGAAGUUGUUAAAAGAUUCUAGAGAUCUUCGUAUUUAUUAGUUUAGGGU